rnacentral:rRNA from 1 species
CGUAGGUGGCAAGCGUUGUCCGGAUUUAUUGGGUUUAAAGGGUGCGUAGGCGGCUUAUUAAGUCAGUGGUGAAAUACUCCAGCUUAACUGGAGGGGUGCCAUUGAUACUGAUGAGCUUGAGUACAGACGAGGUAGGCGGAAUUGACGGUGUAGCGGUGAAAUGCUUAGAUAUCGUCAAGAACACCUAUAGCGAAGGCAGCUUACUAGGCUGUAACUGACGCUGAGGCACGAAAGUGUGGGAUCAAACAGGAUUAGAUACCCUGGUAGUCCACACCGUAAACGUUGAUUACUCGCUGUUUGCGAUAUACUGCAAGCGGCUUAGCGCAAGCGAUAAGUAAUCCACCUGGGGAGUACGCCGGCAACGGUG